UAUACUUUUUAUGGGAGCUUUAAACAUAAGGCUGAGAGGAUUCUGAUGUUGAAUCGACCGUAUCUGAUCUAGAUAAUGCUAGCGAAGAGAUAACAUAAUUUUGUUUU
rnacentral:ncRNA from 2 species